rnacentral:rRNA from 1 species
UACAGAGGUCUCAAGCGUUGUCGAUCGUGGUCAAGGUGGCGUAAGGUGCGCAGUGACGUCGGUAGUCGGUAAUUCGGAAUGGCUUAACUCCGAAACUGCAUUCGAUACUGCGGUGCUUGAGGACUGGAGAGGAGACUGGAAUUCAUGGUGUAGCAGUGAAAUGCGUAGAGAUCAUGAGGAAGACCAGUGGCGAAGGCGGGUCUCUGGACAGUUCCUGACACUGAGGCACGAAGGCCAGGGGAGCAAACGGG